GUGUCUAUUCUACCUCAUCACUCACAAACCAAUUGUGUUUCAUAGAUGCUUAUGGUAACAUAAAGUGGUGCCCCUGGUGGGAAAAGCUCCGUUCCUGUGAGGGAAGGGAGAGAAGAGGACAGAGGCAAGCUGCCAAUUGUCAGUGUCCUUCAGUUCGGAGCCACCUCUGCUCCAAGUCUUAAGAGGCUCCCCCGAGGCCAUCACCUGGAGGUGAGCAGCCACCCCAGGCUGGAGCAGGAUCUGCUCCAGAGUCCCAAAAGAUUCAUCUUCUAUGUGACUCAUUGUCCUGUGGAGCCAACCCAUUUUACUGAUGAAGGACAUAAUUGUUAACGGACUUUUACUGAAGUGAGCAUUACCUUUUUUCUUAUGCUCCAUGGACAUCUCAUCAAGGACCCUUGAAGUGAGGUUACCAUUCUUAGCUCCCACAGCGAAGAGAUCUCAGGAGACUGGACACUGAAGAAUCUCAUCUUGUAUAAAGACAGACCAAGUUCUUCAUUUUUGACUUUUGACAAUUUGACUCUAAUGUGCCUCAGAGAGAAUCAUUUUGGGUUGAAUCUGUUUGGAGUUCUUUGAGCUUCCUGGAUCUCGAUGUCCAUCUCUCGCCCAAGACUUGCACCCAUCUCUUGAGCAGAGACCCAAGAGGGCAGGACAGGAAGAAUGGAAGUGAGAUUUGGCCCCGGUCAUGUUUUCCAAAGUGCUGACAUCAGGAAAAUAAUAGAAGUUAACGCAGAUAUGGGGCUGCCACUGAGGAGAGAGAAGACUGAAAGAAGCAUAUAGAUAAAAGAUUAUCUGAGUAGGCUGAACCAUCGGUGAAAAGGAGGCCAAGCAUCUCAAAAAUAGGACACGUGAGAGUAUGGAGCCAAUGUGACACUCAGAUUUGACACAUACAGAAGCGUGAAAAACUCUUGUGUGACUGGGAUAGCUCCUCUGCAAUGAGAACAUGCCUGGGAUAAUGUACUGAAAAGAUGUGAGAAAUACAUGAAGCAGAGUCCAGUCAUCCCAGCCAAGAACCAGCUGUGAAUGUAACCGCAUGACUUUGAGGCAAGUCCAGACCAAGAACAAAGAACCACUGGUCUUAAAGACAGACCUGCAGAUUCCUGAGCUAAAUAAAAGUUUAUUGUUGAAAGGCACUGAGUUGUUUUUG
rnacentral:lncRNA from 10 species